AAAGCCAAAAUUUGCCUCUCACCCUCUCAUGUCUCAACUCUCUCUAGCUACCUGAAACAAAACACCACAGCCAGCUCACUCUCUGAAUUCUCUCUAGCUACCUGAAAAAAUCCAUCACGGGCAGCUCACUCUCAGCUCUCUUCCCCUUUCUCGGACUCACACCACGGCCGCCCAAUAGCUCCUCCAACUCUUCGAUCGCAAGAAAAGUUUCUGGCUGAAAAAGGAAGAAGCCAAAGAGCUUCAAAGAUGAGGAGUGCUUUAUAAGUUCAGUUCCCACAAAUCAGCAUUCAAAACACUUUCACAUAAGCUUGGGAUUCACUGCAGGAUCUUAGUAUCAUUCUAAGCUCAAGCUGCACUUUUUCUUACUGAAUUGUCCAUUGAAUCACUAUUUCUGGGUGAUCAUCAAUUAUGACUGGGCUGAUGAACUUUAAAGUAUAUGACUUUGAUUGGAUGACAAUGGAGAGGAAAGUGGCUUUUGCUCUUGCCGUGCUUCACUUUAGGACUUUUCUUGUUUUUUGGACUGAAUAGAUGCCACAUUUGGGACAAAUGCAGCUUAUCAGAACAUUUGGAUGGUGAUGUAAACUUUGAAUUUGACAUUUGUGUACUGAAAAUGAUAUUUUGCCAUGUAAUUUCUAAUGUUGUAAUUGGUUUUGCUUGUUUAAGUGUCUAGAUUUAGUAUUUCUAUUUA